rnacentral:rRNA from 1 species
CCUACGGGAGGCAGCAGUGAGGAAUAUUGGUCAAUGGACGAGAGUCUGAACCAGCCAAGUAGCGUGAAGGAUGACUGCCCUAUGGGUUGUAAACUUCUUUUAUAUAGGAAUAAAAUGUUCCACGUGUGGGAUUUUGUAUGUACCAUAUGAAUAAGGAUCGGCUAACUCCGUGCCAGCAGCCGCGGUAAUACGGAGGAUCCGAGCGUUAUCCGGAUUUAUUGGGUUUAAAGGGAGCGUAGGUGGAUUGUUAAGUCAGUUGUGAAAGUUUGCGGCUCAACCGUAAAAUUGCAGUUGAUACUGGCAGUCUUGAGUACAGUAGAGGUGGGCGGAAUUCGUGGUGUAGCGGUGAAAUGCUUAGAUAUCACGAAGAACUCCGAUUGCGAAGGCAGUUCACUGGACUGUAACUGACACUGAGGCUCGAAAGUGUGGGUAUCAAACAGGAUUAGAUACCCGUGUAGUC